CCUACGGGAGGCAGCAGGCGCGAAAACUUCACAAUGGGGGCAACCCCGAUGAGGGAAUUCCUAGUGCUAGCACUUUUUGUGUUAGCUUUUCUUCAGCUUAGAAAACUGAUGGAAUAAGGGCUGGGUAAGACGGGUGCCAGCCGCCGCGGUAAUACCUGCAGCCCAAGUGGUGGUCGAUUUUAUUGAGUCUAAAACGUUCGUAGCCGGUUUGAUAAAUCCUUGGGUAAAUCGAGAAGCUUAACUUUUCGAAUUCCGGGGAGACUGUCAAACUUGGGACCGGGAGAGGCUAGAGGUACUUCUGGGGUAGGGGUAAAAUCCUGUAAUCCUAGAAGGACCACCGGUGGCGAAGGCGUCUUGCUAGAACGGAUCCGACGGUGAGGGACGAAGCCCUGGGGCGCAAACGGGAUUAGAUACCCGCGUAGUCC
rnacentral:rRNA from 1 species